ACAUACAAAACGGAAUUACAAAUAUGUCAGGGAGAAGUUGUUAUAAGCUGUGGAAGUCAUUCUGAUUUUACAACAGGUACAGUCACAGUUCUGACGAAUGCAUCGAAGCAUAUGUGUUGUGGAAAUAAAGUUUACUACCCUUUAAAACAAACGUGCCUAAAUGGAGUCGUCAGACGUGCUGAGGGAAGAAUAAAUACUUUGGACCUGAUAUUAAAGAAGAUCCUGAAAUCCAAGAAAAGGAACCUAUUUUUCGUUUACACUCAUGCUGCACAAACCAACAUGUAUGCGCCAAAGGCAGAUUUCUUCUUGAAAAGUCAACCACACUAAAACGCGCAUUUACUGUAAAAAACAAUUUCCUGUCUUUUUGCAAUUACAAAUGAAAGCUUCACGUUUUUAAGCUAUUCUUCAGCUCUAGAUACAGUGUUUAUUAAUUAGAUUCAUAUUU